rnacentral:lncRNA from 1 species
UGGGAGGACAAUCUGAAGACAUGAGAACGCUGGCGAUUUAACAACUGAAGGUGAGUCCACGGUAGGUUUGUCAGUUUUUGAGGUUCCUCAGUGAAUCAUACAAAGCCAUUGACGUGUGAAAUCAAGCAGUACAUCAGAUAAAAAAUAAUGGAGUAGUCGUGACCGUGCACAUCACGGUGAAAACAAAGAAACUGAUAGACAAUAGCUUCCAAUAGCGUCAUCGUCUAUAAUAAGUUACUGAAUACUACUGACCCAGAAAAAAAAAUACUGGCUUUGAACUUUAGUGUAGCAAAUAGGAAAAAAAUUUCGAGCUGUAGUAACAAGUUACUGAUCAAGAUAAUGUCAGUUUCGACCGAUAGAAAAAAAAAUGUUCCACAGUGUAUUCCCU